CGCACUUAACUAUCAGUUUUGUGUGUAUUUAUGUAAGUAUAGUCACUCAUACAGAUAAAAUGAAAUACAAUAAAAUUGGCAGAAGAAUUAUAAUACAGUAUACUUUCGACAAUACAAGGGCAGCUGUUUCGGUAGCAAUUCUCACAAUGGCAUCGCGCGAAUAAUUCUUACGAUUGAUGAUUGGCAGCUUCAAAAAUUUGCUAGAGAGUGAAAAUCAGCCGGCAGCGGCGAAUCCUCUUCGCUGUGGGUGGAAAGGAAUCGAAUGCGGUGAUUACUGGGUUAAUUUCCUCCAUUAUCCACGAGUGACCCACAUCUUCGGGGCUUCCGCUUUCGGAGAUGUUGAACUAGUGAUGGCUACGAGAUCGCUCGUUACAGAGUAGAAAGGAGUAACCGAUCCCGAUUACGAUUUCUCCUCUCAAUGCCAUGAAAAACGUCGACACUUUCACAAAGCGACGCGUGCAGCUGUUCCGAGGAGGAACUCCCCGUAUCUGAAAAUGGUGGAUAAACGGCGGAAGGGUGAAGCUGACUCUCCAUGUCCACGUGCCGCCUCCUAUUUCGUGAAUUAUCGGUGCAAUCAUCUGGAACAGUUUGCAAUUACGAGAAAUAUACGAUUGAUUGAUGGAUUG